UACGUAGGGUGCAAGCGUUAAUCGGAAUUACUGGGCGUAAAGCGUGCGCAGGCGGUUUUGUAAGUCUGUCGUGAAAUCCCCGGGCUCAACCUGGGAAUUGCGAUGGAGACUGCAAGGCUAGAAUCUGGCAGAGGGGGUAGAAUUCCACGUGUGAGCAGUGAAAUGCGUAGAGAUGUGGAGGAACACCGAUGGCGAAGGCAGCCCCCUGGGUCAAGAUUGACGCUCAUGCACGAAAGGCGUGGGGAGCAAACAGG
rnacentral:rRNA from 1 species